rnacentral:lncRNA from 1 species
GGAACAGAACCUCCUCCUGAAAGGCAGAAAUCCUUCCAAAAGGGAUUUUCAAUAUUUCAGAUAAGCCUUACUAAUGGUAAAUCCGGCUAUUCACUCCGUGCACUUCAUACAUAGGAUUUGACCCUUUAUUAUGUUAAUGCCGGUGUUCAGCGGAUGCUGCUCGCAGUGCUCUCCAUUUCUUCCCAUUGUCUGCCACGAGCACUUGGGGGCUCUGGGAUGCUCCUGCUGCCGGGCUGGGGGCUCGACCCUCACCUUAGGGGGGGGUCCAGCCUGGGAUUGUCCCCGGGGUGUCCCUGCUCUCGUCUCUGCACCUCCACCUCUGCAGCGAGGGCAAAUCACUCUGGUCCAGGUGUUCCUGAAUCAGAGAAGAGGAUCACAGAAUGGCUCGGGCUGGAAGGGACCUGAAGCAUCAUCAAGUUCCAGCCUUCCUGCCACAGUCAGGGUUGCCAGCUGCUGGGUCAAGUGCUUGAUCAGAUUGCCCAGUGCCCCAUGCAGCCUGGCUUUAAACACCUCCAAGGCGGUGUCUUGCCUGCUCUGCCCUGCACACAGCGAUGUCCCAGGGAUGCAAACCAGGAGACGGGUGAAAAAUUACACCAGGGUCUUGCGAAAGAAAGAAAAGCAAGCACGCAGGAAGCCUCAGAAAACAUUCUGGAGAAAUGUAUGUUUUGGCAUUCCUGGCUCCUGCCUGUCUGGGGCUUGUCAGCAGCUGACAAGAAGUAAAUGGAACGGGGCGGGCGUCCUCGGCUGUUGGCAGGAGCACCGGGCCCGGUUCCUCGCAUCACUCAGCCCUGCCAGCAUUGAUGGAACUGCAGAGUGGAUCCCAGCACCUCUCCCUUCCCUCCUUCCCGGAUGGCCCAGGAGAGCUCUGAGCGAUGCACGGGCACAGCCGGGAGCCAAGCAUCCUCACUAGAGCCAUCCCCAGCUUCGUGGAGCCCGUGGAGCUUCAUGCUACUUGUGGGGCUCCAAAACUGGUUGAUAUUGGUGAGGCCCCUCCCUAGAAGCGCGUUCGUGGGCCGGAG